rnacentral:rRNA from 1 species
GAUGAACGCUGGCGGCGUACCUAAUACAUGCAAGUCGAGCGAACAGACGAGGAGCUUGCUCCUCUGACGUUAGCGGCGGACGGGUGAGUAACACGUGGAUAACCUACCUAUAAGACUGGGAUAACUUCGGGAAACCGGAGCUAAUACCGGAUAAUAUAUUGAACCGCAUGGUUCAAUAGUGAAAGACGGUUUUGGUGUCACUUAUAGAUGGAUCCGCGCCGCAUUAGCUAGUUGGUAAGGUAACGGCUUACCAAGGCGACGAUGCGUAGCCGACCUGAGAGGGGGAUCGGCCACACUGGAACUGAGACACGGUCCAGACUCCUACGGGAGGCAGCAGUAGGGAAUCUUCCGCAAUGGGCGAAAGCCUGACGGAGCAACGCCGCGUGAGUGAUGAAGGUCUUCGGAUCGUAAAACUCUGUUAUUAGGGAAGAACAAAUGUGUAAGUAACUAUGCACGUCUUGACGGUACCUAAUCAGAAAGCCACGGCUAACUACGUG